AUGGUCUCAACAAUCCAGGACAAAAGUGUAGACCUUGUCAACAAAGUGUGGGAAUCAUUCCUUAAAGUCAGCAUUGACCAUCUUAAAAGACAUAUAGAAGAAACUCCCAGAAUCCCCAAAAGACUUAAAUCAUGUCCCCCGGUUCCCAAUAUCUCCACUCCACUAAUAGCCGUGAAGACUGCACCUAUCAACACAAAAGCUGCGAAAACAACAACGACAACCAUAGCAACACCAUGGACCUCAACGGCAAAUGAAACCCCAGGACGCCACCUGCUAAUUCAUCUUCCAAAUCAGAAAAUUAUCCAGUGUGACCAGUGUGAGAGAUGGUUCCACAACACAUAUGUUGGGGAAUCAGAUACUCAAAGUUUCUGCUGUCCUGCAUGCCAGUGAUUUGAAGCAAAGUCAUUAUUUUAAAACCCUUAUUUUUUAUGAGUGUCAUCUUAUGGAUGUAUUUUUUUUUCCGGCUAUUUCAAGUAACACAUCAACAGUGUUGGGAAACCAUAUUCUGGGUAAGGCCUCUGCUGUAUGGUAUGCCUGUGCUUAAGACUGUCAAAUACAAUUCUUUCAAAUGGGUUCAUUUUCAUAGUUUCAUUAGCGUUUUCAUAAUGAAAUACAACUUUUUUUUUUUUUUUAGAAAUUUUAAAUGCUUGCAUGUCAUUUGUUAAUUUAGGUCUUCAAUUUAUUAUUUUUUUUUAUAUAUAUAUUUAUGUACUUGUCUGUAGAUUUUGUAGAUUGGAUAAAUUAUGCAAGUAUGGCAUAUUGGUUGUGAUAUGGAUAUAUUUGGCUGGGAUUUUAUAUUUGAUUCCCUUCCUAACAAUGUGGUCUGUGUUUUUCAGGGCUUAGGACCAAUAGAAUACAAUUAAAGCUUUGGCUGGGCCACCUCGAUCCUGCAUUCUAGUUCACUACAUUAUUCUUUAUAAAUCAUUAUUAUGUGUAGAAGUAAAGUUCAAAAGGGGAUGCUUAAUUUAACUGAACAAAUAAUAGUGGAACACAGAAUUUUAUUGUUUUAGGAGAUCAGUGUUGCUCUACUAGGACAUUGCACAGACACAAUUUGUUGUCUUAGUUUUGAAGCCACUGAUGCCUCAGUGUGAAUGUACAUUAAAUGAUUUUGUUUAGUAAUCAUGAGAUUUUUUUUCCUUGUUUUUGUGGCCGUCUGAAUCAGUGACCACGGUAUCAAGUACUGACCAAAUACUAGAACAACCGGACCUGUAUAUUGGCCAUAAGGGUGGUACAGUCGCAGAAUUGGACUUUAUUGUAGGGUACAAACACAUGAAGCAUUAAUGACCGUUUUAGAGGACAAUGUUGAUGUUUCUUAUUUUUAAAUUUCCCUGUGGGCACGUCCCAAAAGGAUUAAUAAAGCUGUCUAUUUUAGUAUGCGUUUAUCUCAUGACUUUAUUCAAAGGUAUUGCUUGUUCUUGUAACCUCUUUCUUUCUCAGAAGGUCCUGCCGUUUGACAGGCUGCAGUUGUAAAUAUGAAUGCUUUUUUUCAUGUCCUGCCUGGAUAAAUACAGGUUUAGAGAAAAUAAUAAACAUAAAUGUACAAUGUGGAAGAGGAGACAUCCUGUAUGGAUAGGUAUUUAUUGUACUUUUUCAAAAAGCAUUACAUACAUGUUGGUGACAUAAAUAAUUUGUCUUGGACGUUCUAAUGUCUUUUAUUUUUCCCAUAAACUUGAAAGUGUCUCUUUCAGUCAAGAUUGGAAUCGCUCCGCGGCUGCCCCCUCCUCCGCCUCGGCUUUCUCCAUGGCUGGACGCUGCAUUCAUGGAAAGGAGAGCAUUCUAUGAGAUUCUCGGUAACUUACGGUAAACAUUUUUCUUCUGGCUGACAGUUGGGCAACACAAAUAUUAGGA
rnacentral:lncRNA from 1 species